CCCUUAGAUGUUCUGGGCCGCACGCGCGCUACACUGAUGAAUGCAACGAGCUUAUAACCUUGGCCGAAAGGUCUGGGUAAUCUCCAAAUUUCGUCGUGAUGGGGAUAGAUUAUUGCAAUUAUUAAUCUUCAACGAGGAAUGCCUAGUAAGCGCAAGUCAUCAGCUUGCGUUGAUUACGUCCCUGCCCUUUGUACACACCGCCCGUCGCUCCUACCGAUUGAAUGGUCCGGUGAAGCGCUCGGACCGCGGCCUCUUGACGGUUCGCUGUCGAUUGGCUGUGGGAAGUUCGUUAAACCUUAUCAUUUAGAGGAAGGAGAAGUCGUAACA
rnacentral:rRNA from 1 species